GUUUCAGGAAGUGGAAGAGAAGCAGGUGUCUGAGUGCUUGAGAGAGAAUAUCGUUUUUUUUGGAGGUCUAGUUGACUUAUAAGUUUGAAAGUUUGUGAGUGACUGUACUGAAGUCUCUGUGAAACGUUUUUGCUAUUGUCCCCAAUCAGCGUGAGCUGUUUGGGGGAUAUUGCUUAAAAUAACCGGACGGACAACAUGGCUUCGACAUCAAGAAUACAAACGACGACGAGAAAGGACAACAGUGAAAUCAGAAUGUUAAACGAAGAACUGAAAAAAAGAACAUAUGAGAAGGAACUGACGGUGAACGUGGAAAUAAGUGGAGAAGGGAAAAUAACAACGAUGGAAUUGCUGAGAGGAAUAAAGGAAGUUUGCGGAACAAUACUGGGAUGUCGAAUGAAAGACGGGAAUAAGUAUGAAGUAACAAUGUCUCAUGUAAAUGGAAAAGAAAGACUAAUAGACGGGCUAAAGAUAAAGAACUGUCAAAUCAUGGCUAAAGAACUAGGGAACGAUGAGCUGGUGGUGUCCUUUUUGAACUUGCCCUCAUACAUUACGGAUGAGGAGAUAGAAGAGAAACUAAAAGGCUGGAAGGUGAAGGCGACCACGCCAAUCAAGAGGAGGAUGUGGCCAGGAACGGACAUUGUAGAUGGGACAAGAUUUUGCAAGAACGGGGAUGUAGCUCAGUGGUAGAGUGGUCCCAGGGCGCACGACCCACGUGGAGUUCCAGGUCUCCGGCAUCCUCUGGAACUGCCGGUCUCCGGCCAACAAGGCUGAGUUCAUCUCAGCCUAUGCUACCCUCCAGUCCCUAGACUUCCUGGCCCUGAUGGAAACAUGGAUUACCACAGAUAACACUGCUACUCCUACUGCUCUCUCCUCGUCUGCCCACGUGUUCUCGCAUACCCCUAGAGCAUCGAGCCAGCGGGGUGGUGGCACUGGAAUCCUCAUCUCUCCCAAGUGGACAUUCUCUCUUUCUCCCCUGACCCAUCUGUCUAUCUCCUCAUUUGAAUUCCAUGCUGUCACAGUUACCAGCCCUUUCAAGCUUAACAUCCUUAUCAUUUAUCGCCCUCCAGGUUCCCUUGGAGAGUUCAUCAAUGAGCUUGACGCCUUGAUAAGUUCCUUUCCUGAGGAUGGCUCACCUCUCACAGUUCUGGGUGACUUUAACCUCCCCACGUCUACCUUUGACUCAUUCCUCUCUGCCUCCUUCUUUCCACUCCUCUCCUCUUUUGACCUCACCGUCUCACCUUCCCCCCCUACUCACAAGGCAGGCAAUACGCUUGACCUCAUCUUUACUAGAUGCUGUUCUUCCACUAAUCUCAUUGCAACUCCCCUCCAAAUCUCCGACCACGACCUUGUAUCCUUUUCCCUCUCGCUCUCAUCCAACACUUCUCACUCUGCCCCUACUCGGAUGGUAUUGCGUCGUCCCAACCUUCGCUCUCUCUCUCCCGCUACGCUCUCCUCUUCCAUCCUAUCAUCUCUUCCCUCUGCUCAAACCUUCUCCAACCUAUCUCCUGAUUCUGCCUCCUCAACCCUCC
rnacentral:lncRNA from 1 species